UGAGGUAGUAGAUUGUAUAGUUUUAGGGUCAUACCCCAUCUUGGAGAUAACUAUACAGUCUACUGUCUUUC
rnacentral:pre_miRNA from 10 species